rnacentral:rRNA from 1 species
AUUGAACGCUGGCGGCAUGCCUUACACAUGCAAGUCGAACGGCAGCAUGGGUGCUUGCACCUGAUGGCGAGUGGCGAACGGGUGAGUAAUGCAUCGGAACGUACCCGGAAGUGGGGGAUAACGUAGCGAAAGUUACGCUAAUACCGCAUAUUCUGUGAGCAGGAAAGCGGGGGAUCGCAAGACCUCGCGCUUCCGGAGCGGCCGAUGUCGGAUUAGCUAGUUGGCGGGGUAAAGGCCCACCAAGGCAACGAUCCGUAGCGGGUCUGAGAGGAUGAUCGGCCACACUGGGACUGAGACACGGCCCAGACUCCUACGGGAGGCAGCAGUGGGGAAUUUUGGACAAUGGGGGCAACCCUGAUCCAGCCAUGCCGCGUGAGUGAAGAAGGCCUUCGGGUUGUAAAGCUCUUUCGGCUGGGAAGAAAUCGCAUCUCCUAAUACGGGGUGUGGAUGACGGUACCAGCAUAAGAAGCACCGGCUAACUACGUGCCAGCCGCCGCAGUAA